rnacentral:rRNA from 1 species
AACGAACGCUGGCGGCAGGCUUAACACAUGCAAGUCGAGCGGGCCCUUCGGGGUCAGCGGCAGACGGGUGAGUAACACGUGGGAACGUACCUUUUGGUUCGGAACAACUCCGGGAAACUGGAGCUAAUACCGGAUAAGCCCUUAGGGGGAAAGAUUUAUCGCCAAAAGAUCGGCCCGGGUCUGAUUAGCUUGUUGGUGGGGUAACGGCCCACCAAGGCGACGAUCAGUAGCUGGUAUGGGGGGAUGAUCCGCCCCCCUGGGACUGGGACCCGCCCCGAACCCCCCGGGAGGGCCGAAGGGGGGAAUUUGGAACGAGGGGCGAAAGCCGAACCCCCCCUGCCCGGGGGAGUGAGUAAGGCCUUAGGUUUGAAAAGCUUUUUUUCCCGGGAAGUUAUGACCUUACCCGAAAAGAAAGCCCCCGCUAACUUUGGG